CCUACGGGAGGCAGCAGUAAGGAAUAUUGGUCAAUGGAGGCAACUCUGAACCAGCCAUGCCGCGUGCAGGAAGAAGGCCCUAUGGGUCGUAAACUGCUUUUGUACCAGAGAAAACCCGAGUACGUGUACUCGGUUGAUAGUAUGGUAAGAAUAAGCAUCGGCUAACUUCGUGCCAGCAGCCGCGGUAAGACGAAGGAUGCAAGCGUUAUCCGGAUUCAUUGGGUUUAAAGGGUGCGUAGGCGGACUGAUAAGUCAGUGGUGAAAUCUCUCAGCUUAACUGAGAAACUGCCAUUGAUACUGUUAGUCUAGAGUAUAGAUGACGUUGGCGGAAUAUGACAUGUAGUGGUGAAAUACUUAGAUAUGUCAUAGAACACCGAUUGCGAAGGCAGCUAACGAAACUAUAACUGACGCUGAGGCACGAAAGUGCGGGGAUCAAACAGGAUUAGAUACCCUGGUAGUCCGCACCGUAAACGAUGAUUACUCGUUGUUGGCAAUAUGACCGUCAGCGACCAAGCGAAAGCGAUAAGAAUCCACCUGGGGAGUACGCCGGCAACGGUGAAACUCAAAGAGUAGUAGACGUUCGNGAGAGCGACGACGACGACACGAGGGAGGNG
rnacentral:rRNA from 1 species